GACGAACGCUGGCGGCGUGCUUAACACAUGCAAGUCGAACGGGAGUAUCGAAGAAGCUUGCUUUUAAGAUACUUUAGUGGCGGACGGGUGAGUAACGCGUGAGGAGCUGUCCUAUGCAGGGGGACAACAGUUGGAAACGACUGCUAAUACCCCAUAAGCCGAGAGGUAAAAGGAUUUAUCCGGCAAAGGAGGUACUCGCGUCCUAUCAGCUAGUGGGUGAGGUAACGGCUCACCUAGGCGAAGACGGGUAGCCGGCCUGAGAGGGCGAACGGCCACACUGGAACUGAGAUACGGUCCAGACUCCUACGGGAGGCAGCAGUGGGGAAUAUUGGGCAAUGGGGGGAACCCUGACCCAGCGACGCCGCGUGGGUGAAGAAAUCCUUCGGGAUGUAAAGCCCUGUUGUAUGGGAAGAGCGGAAGACGGUACCAUACGAGGAAGCCCCGGCAAACUACGUG
rnacentral:rRNA from 1 species